rnacentral:rRNA from 1 species
AAUAGAUACCCAGGUAGUCCACGCCGUAAACGAUGAGUGCUAAGUGUUAGGGGGUUUCCGCCCCUUAGUGCUGCAGCUAACGCAUUAAGCACUCCGCCUGGGGAGUACGGUCGCAAGACUGAAACUCAAGGGAAUUGACGGGGGCCCGCACAAGCGGUGGAGCAUGUGGUUUAAUUCGAAGCAACGCGAAGAACCUUACCAGGUCUUGACAUCCCAUUGACCACUAUGGAGACAUAGUUUUCCCUUCGGGGACAACGGUGACAGGUGGUGCAUGGUUGUCGUCAGCUCGUGUCGUGAGAUGUUGGGUUAAGUCCCGCAACGAGCGCAACCCUUGUUCUUGGUUGCCAUCAUUUAGUUGGGCACUCUAAGGAGACUGCCGGUGACAAACCGGAGGAAGGUGGGGAUGACGUCAAAUCAUCAUGCCCCUUAUGACCUGGGCUACACACGUGCUACAAUGGACGGUACAAACGGUUGCCAACCCGCGAGGGGGAGCUAAUCCGAUAAAACCGUUCUCAGUUCGGAUUGUAGGCUGCAACUCGCCUACA